rnacentral:tRNA from 1 species
GUGGGGAUGUAGCUCAGUUGGUAGAGUGCUUGCUGCCUAUGUAAAGACCCUCGGUUCAAUCCCCAGUACCACA